rfam:Treponema succinifaciens DSM 2489, complete genome.
GGGGAUGUACCGGUUUCGACAAGCAAGAGAAAUCUUGUGUUGCAGGUAGGUGUGAAGGUGCCUUAAACUGACAAAAAAAUAACUGCAAAACGUAGAGAAGACGAACAGUCUGAAAACGAACAGUUUGCACUUGCUGCUUAAGCAGUGCCGGAACUUUUAGUAUGCUGUUCCUAAUGCUGAAAUGUUCUGUUGCUGACAGGGACUUGUUGGACUAAUUUCUUGAGAUUAGUUCGAGACUUUUAUCAAGAUACGGAAGAGACGCCUUUGAAGCCGCUACCUUUUCCCGACAACUACCUCGCUUCAAUAAACCUGUAGAGAUGCUUGGUUUGCUUGCAUGGACGCGGGUUCAACUCCCGCCAUCUCCAAAA